GUCCAUGAUGGCCGAGAUCGUUAGGCAUCGAGCUUUUAACUCGAUUACAGUUGCUUUACUUCAGGACGC
rnacentral:tRNA from 2 species